UACGAAGGGUGCAAGCGUUACUCGGAAUUACUGGGCGUAAAGCGUGCGUAGGUGGUGCGUUAAGUCUGUCGUGAAAGCCCCGGGCUCAACCUGGGAAUGGCGAUGGAUACUGGCGCGCUAGAGUGCGGUAGAGGAGAGUGGAAUUCCCGGUGUAGCAGUGAAAUGCGUAGAGAUCCGGAGGAACACCGACGGCGCAGGCAGCGUCCUGGCCGCUUGCUGACACUGAGGCACGAAAGCUGGGGGAGCAAACAGG
rnacentral:rRNA from 1 species